rnacentral:rRNA from 1 species
UAAUCAUUAGUUUCUUAAUUAGGAGCUGGUAUGAAAGGUUGGACGAGGGAAUUUCUGUCUCAUAUUAAUUUGUAUUAGAAUUUUAUUUUUAAGUUAAAAAGCUUAAAUGAUUUUAGAAGACGAGAAGACCCUAUAGAGUUUUAUAAUGAUUUUUAUAAGGGUAAAUUUGGAUUAAAAUAUUCUUAUUAAAAUUAAUAUUUUAUUGGGGUGAUAGGAAAAUUAAAGAAACUUUUCUUUUUAAAGAACAUAGAUUUAUGAACAUAUGAUCCAGAAUUUUUGAUUAUAAGAUUAAAUUACCUUAGGGAUAACAGCGUUAUUUUACUAGAGAGUUCAAAUCGAAAGUAAAGUUUGCGACCUCGAUGUUGGAUUAAAAUUUAUUAUUGGUGUAGAAGCUGGUAAAUUAAGUCUGUUCGACUUUUAAAAUUUU